rnacentral:lncRNA from 1 species
GGAGGUCACUGGGAGGCUGGUGCUGGGCAGCAGCUAGUGCCACUUUCUCUGUUCCAUAUUUCAGCGCUUCCAGAGCCAGAACUGAGCCCAGUGAGAGCGCACCCUGGGGCAGCCUGGAUUCCUGGGGUGUCCCCGGCAGCCACACACAGCCAUGCACUACCCAACUGCACUCCUCUUCCUCAUCCUGGCCAAUGGGGCCCAGGCCUUUCGCAUCUGCGCCUUCAAUGCCCAGCGGCUGACGCUGGCCAAGGUGGCCAGGGAGCAGGUGAUGGACACCUUAGUUCGGAUACUGGCUCGCUGUGACAUCAUGGUGCUGCAGGAGGUGGUGGACUCUUCUGGCAGCGCCAUCCCCCUCCUGCUUCGAGA